GACGAACGCUAGCGGCGUGCCUAAUACAUGCAAGUAGAACGCACAGUUUAUACCGUAGCUUGCUACACCAUAGACUGUGAGUUGCGAACGGGUGAGUAACGCGUAGGUAACCUGCCUGGUAGCGGGGGAUAACUAUUGGAAACGAUAGCUAAUACCGCAUAAUAUUGAUUAUUGCAUGAUAAUUAAUUGAAAGGUGCAAUUGCACCACUACCAGAUGGACCUGCGUUGUAUUAGCUAGUAGGUGAGGUAACGGCUCACCUAGGCGACGAUACAUAGCCGACCUGAGAGGGUGAUCGGCCACACUGGGACUGAGACACGGCCCAGACUCCUACGGGAGGCAGCAGUAGGGAAUCUUCGGCAAUGGACGAAAGUCUGACCGAGCAACGCCGCGUGAGUGAAGAAGGUUUUCGGAUCGUAAAGCUCUGUUGUAAGAGAAGAACGGGUGUGAGAGUGGAAAGUUCACACUGUGACGGUAUCUUACCAGAAAGGGACGGCUAACUACGUG
rnacentral:rRNA from 1 species